rnacentral:rRNA from 1 species
UACGUAGGGUGCGAGCGUUGUUCGGAAUUACUGGGCGUAAAGCGCGCGUAGGCGGACCUGCAAGUCGGGGGUGAAAGCCCGAGGCUCAACCUCGGAACUGCCUUCGAUACUGCGGGUCUCGAGUCCGGGAGAGGUGAGUGGAAUUCCUAGUGUAGAGGUGAAAUUCGUAGAUAUUAGGAAGAACACCAGUGGCGAAGGCGGCUCACUGGCCCGGUACUGACGCUCAUGUGCGAAAGCGUGGGGAGCAAACAGG